AAUGAACGCUGGCGGCGUGCUUAACACAUGCAAGUCGAACGGAAAGGCGGGGUUCGCGCUGCCCUCGAGUGGCGAACGGGUGAGUAAGGCAUCGGUGCGUGCCCCGUCUUUGGGGAUAGCCCGUCUAAAGCCGGCUUAAUACCGUACACGACCAGAUGUUGAAAGGGGUGGAUCGAAAGUCCUUGCGGUUUUGGAUGUGCCGAGGUCGUAUUAGCGAGUUGGUGAGGUAAAGGCUUACCAAGGCGACGAUCCGUAGCCGGGCUGAGAGGACGACCGGCCACCCGAGGACGGAGACACGGACCAGGCUCCUACGGGAGGCAGCAGUCGGGAAUGUUGGACAAUGGGGGAAACCCUGACGGAGCAAAGCCGCGUGAGGGAAGAAGGCCUUCGGGUCGUAAAACGCUUUUGUUAGGGAAGAAAACCUCUGUGCGAAACCACCGGCGUCUUGACGGUACCUAAAGAAAAAGCCCCGGCUAACUACGUG
rnacentral:rRNA from 1 species